rnacentral:rRNA from 1 species
GAGUUUGCUCAUGGCUCAGAGUGAACGCUGGCGGCGUGCUUAACACAUGCAAGUCGAACGAGAACGGUCCUAGCUUGCUAGGAUGUCAGCUAAGUGGCGGACGGGUGAGUAAUGUAUAGUUAAUCUGCCCUUUAGAGAGGAAUAACUACUGGAAACGGUAGCUAAUACCUCAUACUCCUUCUUUUUUAAUAAGAGUUGGGAAAUGUUUUUUCGCUAAAGGAUGAGACUAUAUGGUAUCAGGUAGUUGGUGGGGUAAGAGCCUACCAAGCCAAUGACGCCUAGCUGGUCUGAGAGGAUGAUCAGCCACACUGGAACUGAGACACGGUCCAGACUCCUACGGGAGGCAGCAGUGGGGAAUAUUGCACAAUGGAGGAAACUCUGAUGCAGCAACGCCGCGUGGAGGAUGACACAUUUCGGUGCGUAAACUCCUUUUAUAUAAGAAGAAAUUUGACGGUAUUAUAUGAAUAAGCACCGGCUAACUCCGUGCCAGCAGCCGCGGUAAUACGGAGGGCGCAAGCGUUACUCGGAAUCACUGGGCGUAAAGAACGUGUAGGCGGUUUAGAAAGUCAGAUGUGAAAGCCUAUGGCUCAACCAUAGAACAGCAUUUGAAACUUCUAAACUAGAGUGGGGGAGAGGUCAGUGGAAUUAGUGGUGUAGGGGUAAAAUCCGUAGAGAUCACUAGGAAUACCUAUUGCGAAGGCGACUGGCUGGAACCUAACUGACG